GACGAACGCUGGCGGCGUGCUUAACACAUGCAAGUCGAACGGAAAGGCCCUGCUUUUGUGGGGUGCUCGAGUGGCGAACGGGUGAGUAACACGUGAGUAACCUGCCCUUGACUUUGUGAUAACUUCAGGAAACUGGGGCUAAUACCGGAUAGGAGCUCCUGCUGCACGGUGGGGGUUGGAAAGUUUCGGCGGUUGGGGAUGGACUCGCGGCUUAUCAGCUUGUUGGUGGGGUAGUGGCUUACCAAGGCUUUGACGGGUAGCCGGCCUGGGAGGGUGACCGGCCACAUUGGGACUGAGAUACGGCCCAGACUCCUACGGGAGGCAGCAGUGGGGAAUAUUGCACAAUGGGCGGAAGCCUGAUGCAGCAACGCCGCGUGCGGGAUGACGGCCUUCGGGUUGUAAACCGCUUUCGCCUGUGACGAAGCGUGAGUGACGGUAAUGGGUAAAGAAGCACCGGCUAACUACGUG
rnacentral:rRNA from 1 species